rnacentral:rRNA from 1 species
CCCGCUCAGACACUCAAAUGAAUUGACGGGGCCCGCACAAGCGGUGGAGUAUGUGGUUUAAUUCGAUGCAACGCGAAGAACCUUACCUGGUCUUGACAUCCCGGAGACCCUUAGGAAACUAGGGGGUGCUUCCAUCUGGAAGAAUCUGGAGACAGGUGCUGCAUGGCUGUCGUCAGCUCGUGUCGUGAGAUGUUGGGUUAAGUCCCGCAACGAGCGCAACCCUUGCCUUUAGUUGCCAGCAGUUCGGCUGGGCACUCUAAAGGGACUGCCGGUGUUAAACCGGAGGAAGGUGGGGAUGACGUCAAGUCCUCAUGGCCUUUAUGACCAGGGCUACACACGUACUACAAUGGCCGAUACAAAGGGCAGCGACACUGCGAGGUGAAGCCAAUCCCGUAAAAUCGGUCUCAGUCCGGAUUGGAGUCUGCAACUCGACUCCAUGAAGUUGGAAUCGCUAGUAAUCGUGGAUCAGCAUGCCACGGUGAAUACGUUCCCGGGCCUU